CCUUCGAUAGCUCAGCUGGAAGAGCGCAAGACUGUAAUUGGUUACCUGCAAUCGCCCAUCUUCAUCUUGAGGCCGCUGGUUCGAUCCCGGCUCGAAGGA